ACCCGGCUGGCUCAAUUGGUAGAGCAUGUGACUCUUGUUCUCUGGGUUGUGAGUUCAAGCCCCAUGUUGGGUG
rnacentral:tRNA from 1 species